UGGGGAAUAUUGCACAAUGGGGGAAACCCUGAUGCAGCGACGCCGCGUGAGCGAAGAAGGUUUUCGAAUCGUAAAGCUCUGUCCUAUGAGAAGAUAAUGACGGUAUCAUAGGAGGAAGCCCCGGCUAAAUACGUGCCAGCAGCCGCGGUAAUACGUAUGGGGCGAGCGUUGUCCGGAAUUAUUGGGCGUAAAGGGUACGUAGGCGGUUUAUUAAGUCAGGUGUGAAAGCGUGAGGCUUAACCUCAUUAAGCACUUGAAACUGAUAGACUUGAGUGAAGGAGAGGAAAGUGGAAUUCCUAGUGUAGCGGUGAAAUGCGUAGAUAUUAGGAGGAAUACCGGUGGCGAAGGCGACUUUCUGGACUUUUACUGACGCUCAGGUACGAAAGCGUGGGGAGCAAACAGG
rnacentral:rRNA from 1 species